UCCUGGCUCAGGAUGAACGCUAGCUACAGGCUUAACACAUGCAAGUCGAGGGGAAACGAUAUUGGAAGCUUGCUUCCGAUAGGCGUCGACCGGCGCACGGGUGAGUAACGCGUAUCCAACCUGCCCACCACUUGGGGAUAACCUUGCGAAAGUAAGACUAAUACCCAAUGACGUCUCUAGAAGACAUCUGAAAGAGAUUAAAGAUUUAUCGGUGAUGGAUGGGGAUGCGUCUGAUUAGCUUGUUGGCGGGGUAACGGCCCACCAAGGCGACGAUCAGUAGGGGUUCUGAGAGGAAGGUCCCCCACAUUGGAACUGAGACACGGUCCAAACUCCUACGGGAGGCAGCAGUGAGGAAUAUUGGUCAAUGGGCGAAAGCCUGAACCAGCCAUGCCGCGUGAAGGAAUAAGGCCCUAUGGGUCGUAAACUUCUUUUGUAUCGGAGCAAUAAGGGUCACGAGUGACCCGAUGAGAUUACGAUACGAAUAAGCAUCGGCUAACUCCGUG
rnacentral:rRNA from 1 species